rnacentral:ncRNA from 1 species
CCGCCAGAUAACGCAUCGGUCGAUCACCGGUGGCUCAACGGUACCUGACGGUUACAAGUAAAUAUCAUCAGCUGCCUAUUGAGCGGGUUAGCUGCAGACCGGAACGGAGGAUUCUCCGUCGGGACUGUAGUUGGAUUUCUAUACCCAUUUUGCAGCUGACCA